UACGUAGGGUGCGAGCGUUAAUCGGAAUUACUGGGCGUAAAGCGUGCGCAGGCGGUUUUGUAAGCCAGAUGUGAAAGCCCCGGGCUUAACCUGGGAAUGGCAUUUGGGACUGCAAGGCUUGAGUGCGGCAGAGGAGACUGGAAUUCCUGGUGUAGCAGUGAAAUGCGUAGAUAUCAGGAAGAACACCAAUGGCGAAAGCAGCUUUCUGGGACGGUACUGACGCUGAGACGCGAAAGCGUGGGGAGCGAACAGG
rnacentral:rRNA from 1 species